GAUGAACGCUGGCGGCGUGCUUAACACAUGCAAGUCGAACGGGAAUUAUUUUAUUGAAACUACGGUCGAUUUAAUUUAAUUCUAGUGGCGGACGGGUGAGUAACGCGUGGGUAACCUGCCUUAUACAGGGGGAUAACAGUCAGAAAUGGCUGCUAAUACCGCAUAAGCGCACAGAGCUGCAUGGCUCAGUGUGAAAAACUCCGGUGGUAUAAGAUGGACCCGCGUUGGAUUAGCUGGUUGGUGGGGUAACGGCCCACCAAGGCGACGAUCCAUAGCCGGCCUGAGAGGGUGAACGGCCACAUUGGGACUGAGACACGGCCCAGACUCCUACGGGAGGCAGCAGUGGGGAAUCUUGCACAAUGGGGGAAACCCUGAUGCAGCGACGCCGCGUGAAGGAAGAAGUAUCUAGGUAUGUAAACUUCUAUCAGCAGGGAAGAUAGUGACGGUACCUGACUAAGAAGCCCCGGCUAACUACGUG
rnacentral:rRNA from 1 species